rnacentral:snRNA from 1 species
CUGCUUUGGCAGCACAUAUAUUAAAAUUGGAAUAAGUUAUCAUGGUUCCUGGGCUAGGAUGACUCACAGGUUUGUGAGGAGUUCCAUUUUUAA